rnacentral:rRNA from 1 species
UGGGGAAUUUUGCGCAAUGGGCGAAAGCCUGACGCAGCAACGCCGCGUGGAGGAUGAAGGUCUUCGGAUCGUAAACUCCUGUCGAUGGGGACGAAAGCCCGCAAGGGUUUGACUGUACCCGUUGAGGAAGCCACGGCUAACUCCGUGCCAGCAGCCGCGGUAAUACGGAGGUGGCAAGCGUUGUUCGGAAUUACUGGGCGUAAAGGGCGCGUAGGCGGUUGGGCAAGUCAGAUGUGAAAGCCCCGAGCUUAACUCGGGAAUUGCAUCUGAAACUGCUUAACUUGAGUCCUGGAUGGGGUAGUGGAAUUCCCAGUGUAGCGGUGAAAUGCGUAGAUAUUGGGAGGAACACCUGCGGCGAAGGCGGCUACCUGGACAGUGACUGACGCUGAGGCGCGAAGCUAGGGGAGCGAACGGGAUUAGAUACCCCGGUAGUCCUAGCCGUAAACGAUGGGCAC